rnacentral:rRNA from 1 species
GGGUUGUGAGGUUAAGCGACUAAGCGUACACGGUGGAUGCCCUGGCAGUCAGAGGCGAUGAAGGGCGUGCUAAUCUGCGAUAAGCGCCGGUAAGGUGAUAUGAACCGUUAUAACCGGCGAUACCCGAAUGGGGAAACCCAGUGUGAUUCGUCACACUAUCAUUAACUGAAUCCAUAGGUUAAUGAGGCGAACCGGGGGAACUGAAACAUCUAAGUACCCCGAGGAAAAGAAAUCAACCGAGAUUCCCCCAGUAGCGGCGAGCGAACGGGGAGGAGCCCAGAGCCUGAAUCAGCAUGUGUGUUAGUGGAAGCGUCUGGAAAGGUGCGCGAUACAGGGUGACAGCCCCGUACACAAAAGCGCAUGUGCUGUGAGCUCGAUGAGUAGGGCGGGACACGUGGUAUCCUGUCUGAAUAUGGGGGGACCAUCCUCCAAGGCUAAAUACUCCUGACUGACCGAUAGUGAACCAGUACCGUGAGGGAAAGGCGAAAAGAACCCCGGCGAGGGGAGUGAAAAAGAACCUGAAACCGUGUACGUACAAGCAGUGGGAGCACAGGUUUACCUGUGUGACUGCGUACCUUUUGUAUAAUGGGUCAGCGACUUAUAUUCUGUAGCAAGGUUAACCGUAUAGGGGAGCCGGAGGGAAACCGAGUCUUAACCGGGCGUUAAGUUGCAGGGUAUAGACCCGAAACCCGGUGAUCUAGCCAUGGGCAGGUUGAAGGUUGGGUAACACUAACUGGAGGACCGAACCGACUAAUGUUGAAAAAUUAGCGGAUGACCUGUGGCUGGGGGUGAAAGGCCAAUCAAACCGGGAGAUAGCUGGUUCUCCCCGAAAGCUAUUUAGGUAGCGCCUCGUGAAUUCAUCUCCGGGGGUAGAGCACUGUUUCGGCUAGGGGGCCAUCCCGGCUUACCAACCCGAUGCAAACUGCGAAUGCCGGAGAAUGUUAUCACGGGAGACACACGGCGGGUGCUAACGUCCGUCGUGAAGAGGGAAACAACCCAGACCGCCAGCUAAGGUCCCAAAGUCAUGGUUAAGUGGGAAACGAUGUGGGAAGGCCCAGACAGCCAGGAUGUUGGCUUAGAAGCAGCCAUCAUUUAAAGAAAGCGUAAUAGCUCACUGGUCGAGUCGGCCUGCGCGGAAGAUGUAACGGGGCUAAACCAUGCACCGAAGCUGCGGCAGCGAACGUAUCACCCAAGACAACUUUACGGAGUUGACGAUUGACGGAGCGAAGCGACGUCAAAGCGUUCAUUAAAGUCGAGUUGGCUUAGGGAUACGUUCGUUGGGUAGGGGAGCGUUCUGUAAGCCUGUGAAGGUGUGUCGUGAGGC